rnacentral:rRNA from 1 species
AUAUUUAUAUGAGAGUUUGAUCCUGGCUCAGGAUGAACGCUGGCGGCGUGCCUAAUACAUGCAAGUCGAACGAGUUUUGGUCGAUGAACGGUGCUUGCACUGUGAUUCAACUUAAAACGAGUGGCGGACGGGUGAGUAACACGUGGGUAACCUGCCCUUGAGUGGGGGAUAACAUUUGGAAACAGAUGCUAAUACCGCAUAAAUCCAAGAACCGCAUGGUUCUUGGCUGAAAG